UAAUACGCCUUGACGAGUAGAGGUAGGGGUUGUCUUCCGUUUCAAGGAGCGCAUUUUAAUUACUUCAGACGGGUUGAACCGUUAAAACAUAAGAACCGCCUUUACAGUUUCUGUAGCUUGUACCGCAGAGGUUCCAAUCUCCAAACUUUCCUCGUCUGAGAACUACCUUAGCUAUGUCUACAAUUCUCGAAACUUAUUUUAAAUCCCUCGUUUAAGCUAAAUUCUAAGGGCUUUGUUUACCGAAAAAUAUUGAAAUCCUUGUUAAGCAUUGAGGGCACCACUGUCCAAUUUCGUGGCCAAAGUCUUGGCGACGCUAUAAAACGGAAGACGCCGGCCACUGGAAAUAACACCACGUUCAGAAUAUCAGAAAUUCUCGCUGCUCCACGCUAACUAUAGCUUAGAUAAAUAAUUUUACUUGAUCUUCGCAAAAUUAUGUGCUUUUUUUACUUAUAUGUUAACACCCAAGAGGCAAAGGUUUAUAAAUAUAAAGAAAUAACUUUUACGAUAAUACAAAAAUGGAUAGAAACGCUCAAAGAGAGCUAACAGAACGACCACGGCUAGUGGACAAUUUUCAAUGUGUUUAAAAUGCAAUAUGAAAUAUUACUCAUUUAAUAUUCCCUUAAAGAAGUAUAGUGGUUUCAAAAAAAAAAAUUGUGUUUAGUUAACAAAGCCUUUUGUCUACUGUAGCACUUUGUUCAAAU